UUGCUUUGGCAUCACAUAUACUAAAAUUGGAAUGAGACAGAGAAGACUAGCAUAGCCCCUGGUGCAAAAAUGACAUGCACAUUUGUGAAGCAUACUGUAUUUUU
ensembl:snRNA U6 U6 spliceosomal RNA